CAUAAAUUUACCGACGCCAGAGCAAAGAGUUUGAAGACAUAGCCAUUGCCUUUUUUUCACCAAAUGAAUUUCCAUGAUCGUGUUGUUUACAUUUGGCGUCGUAGCUUGUCAUUGAACACAUUUUAAAGACUCUCAAUCUGACGGCACCCAUUCACUACAGAAAAUCCAAUGGUGAGCCAGUGAUGGAAUGAUACAUUUCUCCAAUUUUGUUCCGAUUGGAGAAACAAACGCAACUACAUCUUGGAUGUGUCCAUACAAUGUUGAUGCUACCCUGGAUAUUGACUGUUUUUUACACCAAGAACCACUACCACAAAAUCAAGUAAAUAGAGUUUCAUCUCUCUCUAUCAGAUUUUGUUUGUUUAUUUAUCUAUUUCACUGUUUCCUCUAUUUUACUGUUGCCAUACAAAUCUGUAUGCUAUUUCAUGAGCUUGCUUUGAAUU